UACGUAGGGUGCAAGCGUUAAUCGGAAUUACUGGGCGUAAAGCGUGCGCAGGCGGUGAUGUAAGACAGUUGUGAAAUCCCCGGGCUUAACCUGGGAAUUGCAUUUGUGACUGCACGGCUAGAGUGUGUCAGAGGGGGGUAGAAUUCCACGUGUAGCAGUGAAAUGCGUAGAUAUGUGGAGGAAUACCGAUGGCGAAGGCAGCCCCCUGGGAUAACACUGACGCUCAUGCACGAAAGCGUGGGGAGCAAACAGG
rnacentral:rRNA from 1 species